rnacentral:ncRNA from 1 species
UCACCAGGGGUGCUGAGCGCGUCGCUUAGCUGAGAAAAACCCUUGGAACCUGCACGGGAUCAUACCUGCGAAGGGAGUGUGAAU